rnacentral:rRNA from 1 species
CAGCAGCCGCGGGAAUACGAAGGGGGCUAGCGUUGUUCGGAAUUACUGGGCGUAAAGCGCACGUAGGCGGAUAUUUAAGUCAGGGGUGAAAUCCCGCAGCACAACUGCGGAACUGCCUUUGAUACUGGGUAUCUUGAGUAUGGAAGAGGUUAGUGGAAUUGCGAGUGUAGAGGUGAAAUUCGUAGAUAUUCGCAGGAACACCAGUGGCGAAGGCGGCUAACUGGUCCAUAACUGACGCUGAGGUGCGAAAGCGUGGGGAGCAAACAGGAUUAGAUACCCCCGUAGUCCCUGUCUCUUAUAC